rnacentral:rRNA from 1 species
CAAUAGCGUAUAUUAAAGUUGUUGCAGUUAAAAAGCUCGUAGUUGGAUUUCUGGCGGGAGCGAUCGGUCUGGCGCUUAGCGCGAGUACUUGCAUCGUCUCCGGCCAUCCUUGGGGAGAGUCUGUCUGGCAUUAGGUUGUCGGGCAGAGGAUCCUCAUCGUUUACUGUGAAAAAAUUAGAGUGUUCAAAGCAGGCUUAUGCCGUUGAAUAUAUUAGCAUGGAAUAAUAAGAUAGGACUUUGGUACUAUUUUGUUGGUUUGCGCACCAAAGUAAUGAUUAAUAGGGACAGUUGGGGGUAUUCGUAUUCCGUUGUCAGAGGUGAAAUUCAUGGAUUUACGGAAGACGAACUACUGCGAAAGCAUUUACCAAGGAUGUUUUCAUUAA